rnacentral:rRNA from 1 species
CGUAGGUGGUUUGAUAAGCGAGAUGUGAAAGCCCCGGGCUUAACCUGGGAACGGCAUUUCGAACUGUCAGGCUAGAGUGUGGUAGAGGGUAGUGGAAUUUCCUGUGUAGCGGUGAAAUGCGUAGAUAUAGGAAGGAACACCAGUGGCGAAGGCGACUACCUGGACCAACACUGACACUGAGGUGCGAAAGCGUGGGGAGCAAACA